GGGCCCGUAGCUCAGCCAGGUAGAGCACCGGGCUUUUAACCCGGGGGUCGCGAGUCCGAAUCCCGCCGGGCCCG
rnacentral:tRNA from 1 species